AUGGUCCGCUAUUUUUUUAAUAUCUACAUUGUUACCAAAGCUUGUCAUUUCAAUAUCUCCAAAUCCAUAAAUAGUCUCUGCAAUAGCCAGCUUAAGAAUGGAUGCUUACCAACCAUUGCCUUUUCUUCUCAUAAUUAUCCAAUUCACUUCAUCAUACCAAACUUUCGGUUCAUAAUUCACCACCUGAAGCCAUACCAACACUUUAUGCCAAAUAGAUCUAAAUUCAAUGCAUCCAAAGAAAAGGUGGUCUAUGGUCUCUUAACCAGAGCAGACACAACAAUUAUUAUUGUCAACCAUAACAAAACGAUAUAA